UACGAAGGGGGCUAGCGUUGCUCGGAAUUACUGGGCGUAAAGCGCGCGCAGGCGGUUCUUCAAGUCAGAGGUGAAAGCCCAGAGCUCAACUCUGGAAUGGCCUUUGAGACUAGAGAACUAGGGUACGGGAGAGGUGAGUGGAAUUCCGAGUGUAGAGGUGAAAUUCGUAGAUAUUCGGAAGAACACCAGUGGCGAAGGCGGCUCACUGGCCCGUUACCGACGCUCAGGCGCGAAAGCGUGGGGAGCAAACAGG
rnacentral:rRNA from 1 species